rnacentral:rRNA from 1 species
AGUGAACGCUGGCGGUAGGCCUAACACAUGCAAGUCGAACGGCAGCACAGUAAGAGCUUGCUCUUACGGGUGGCGAGUGGCGGACGGGUGAGGAAUACAUCGGAAUCUACUUUUUCGUGGGGGAUAACGUAGGGAAACUUACGCUAAUACCGCAUACUACCUACGGGUGAAAUCAGGGGAUCUUCGCACCUUGCGCGACUGUAUGAGCCGAUGUCGGAUUAGCUAGUUGGCGGGGUAAAGGCCCACCAAGGCGACGAUCCGUAGCUGGUCUGAGAGGAUGAUCGGCCACACUGGAACUGAGACACGGUCCAGACUCCUACGGGAGGCAGCAGUGGGGAAUAUUGGGCAAUGGGCGAAAGCCUGACCCAGCCAUACCGCGUGAGUGAAGAAGGUCUUCGGGUUGUAAAGCCCUUUUGUUGGGAAAGAAAAGCAGCAGAUUAAUACCCCGCUGUUCUGACGGUACCCAAAGAAUAAGCACCGGCUAACUUCGUG